rnacentral:rRNA from 1 species
GACGAACGCUGGCGGCGUGCUUAACACAUGCAAGUCGAACGGAAAGGCCCUCACCUUGGUGGGGGUGCUCGAGUGGCGAACGGGUGAGUAACACGUGGGUGAUCUGCCCUGUACUUCGGGAUAAGCUUGGGAAACUGGGUCUAAUACCGGAUAGGACCAUGGUUUAGUGUCUCAUGGUGGAAAAAUUAUUGUUUUGGUGCAGGAUGAGCUCGCGGCCUAUCAGCUUGUUGGUGGGGUAAUGGCCUACCAAGGCGUCGACGGGUAGCCGGCCUGAGAGGGUGGACGGCCACAUUGGGACUGAGAUACGGCCCAGACUCCUACGGGAGGCAGCAGUGGGGAAUAUUGCACAAUGGGCGCAAGCCUGAUGCAGCGACGCCGCGUGGGGGAUGACGGCCUUCGGGUUGUAAACUCCUUUCGUUAGGGACGAAGCCACACUUUUUUUGGGUGUGGUGACGGUACCUUUGUUAAGAAGCACCGGCUAACUACGUGCCAGCAGCCGCGGUAAUACGUAGGGUGCGAGCGUUGUCCGGAAUUACUGGGCGUAAAGAGCUCGUAGGUGGUUUGUUGCGUCGUCUGUGAAAUUCCGGGGCUUAACUUCGGGGUGGCAGGCGAUACGGGCAUAACUAGAGUGCUGUAGGGGAGACUGGAAUUCCUGGUGUAGCGGUGGAAUGCGCAGAUAUCAGGAGGAACACCGAUGGCGAAGGCAGGUCUCUGGGCAGUAACUGACGCUGAGGAGCGAAAGCAUGGGGAGCGAACAGGAUUAGAUACCCUGGUAGUCCAUGCUGUAAACGGUGGGCGUUAGGUGUGGGGACCGGUUUGGUUUCUGUGCCGUAGCUAACGCAUUAAGCGCCCCGCCUGGGGAGUACGGCCGCAAGGCUAAAACUCAAAGGAAUUGACGGGGGCCCGCACAAGCGGCGGAGCAUGUGGAUUAAUUCGAUGCAACGCGAAGAACCUUACCUGGGUUUGACAUGCACCAGACGGUUGUAGAGAUACGUACCUCCCUUUGUGGUUGGUGUGCAGGUGGUGCAUGGUUGUCGUCAGCUCGUGUCGUGAGAUGUUGGGUUAAGUCCCGCAACGAGCGCAACCCUUGUCUUAUGUUGCCAGCACGUUUGGGUGGGGACUCAUGAGAGACUGCCGGGGUUAACUCGGAGGAAGGUGGGGAUGACGUCAAAUCAUCAUGCCCUUUAUGCCCAGGGCUUCACACAUGCUACAAUGGUUAGUACAACGCGCGGCGAGCCCGUGAGGGUGAGCGAAUCGCUGAAAGCUAAUCUCAGUUCGGAUUGGGGUCUGCAACUCGACCCCAUGAAGUCGGAGUCGCUAGUAACCGCAGAUCAGCAAUGCUGCGGUGAAUACGUUCCCGGGCCU